rnacentral:rRNA from 1 species
AACGAACGCUGGCGGCAUGCCUAACACAUGCGAGUCGAACGAGAUCUUCGGAUCUAGUGGCGCACGGGUGCGUAACGCGUGGGAAUCUGCCCCUUGCUUCGGAAUAACAGUGAGAAAUUACUGCUAAUACCGGAUGAUGUCUCCGGACCAAAGAUUUAUCGGCAAGGGAUGAGCCCGCGUAGGAUUAGGUAGUUGGUGGGGUAAUGGCCUACCAAGCCGACGAUCCUUAGCUGGUCUGAGAGGAUGAUCAGCCACACUGGGACUGAGACACGGCCCAGACUCCUACGGGAGGCAGCAGUGGGGAAUAUUGGACAAUGGGCGAAAGCCUGAUCCAGCAAUGCCGCGUGAGUGAUGAAGGCCUUAGGGUUGUAAAGCUCUUUUACCAGGGAUGAUAAUGACAGUACCUGGAGAAUAAGCUCCGGCUAACUCCGUG